CUACGGGGUGCAGCAGUGAGGAAUAUUGCACAAUGGAGGAAACUCUGAUGCAGCAACGCCGCGUGGAGGAUGACGCAUUUCGGUGUGUAAACUCCUUUUAUGAGUCAAGAGAAUGACGGUAGCUCAUGAAUAAGCACCGGCUAACUCCGUGCCAGCAGCCGCGGUAAUACGGAGGGUGCAAGCGUUACUCGGAAUCACUGGGCGUAAAGGACGCGUAGGCGGGAUAUCAAGUCAGGUGUGAAAUCCUACAGCUUAACUGUAGAACUGCACUUGAAACUGGUAACCUAGAGUAUGGGAGGGGGAGAUGGAAUUAGUGGUGUAGGGGUAAAAUCCGUAGAUAUCACUAGGAAUACCUAAAGCGAAGGCGAUCUCCUGGAACAUAACUGACGCUAAGGCGUGAAAGCGUGGGGAGCAAACAGGAUUAGAUACCCUCGUAGUC
rnacentral:rRNA from 1 species